AUCCUUUGCUGAGGAUACGGUUAACGGAGCGAAAGCGACGUUCAACCUCAAAAGAAGCAGAGGGGGCUUAGUGGUGGGGUGACUGCGUACCUUUUGUAUAAUGGGUCAGCGACUUAUAUUCUGUAGCAAGGUUAACCGAAUAGGGGAGCCGGAGGGAAACCGAGUCUUAACCGGGCGUUAAGUUGCAGGGUAUAGACCCGAAACCCGGUGAUCUAGCCAUGGGCAGGUUGAAGGUUGGGUAACACUAACUGGAGGACCGAACCGACUAAUGUUGAAAAAUUAGCGGAUGACCUGUGGCUGGGGGUGAAAGGCCAAUCAAACCGGGAGAUAGCUGGUUCUCCCCGAAAGCUAUUUAGGUAGCGCCUCGUGAAUUCAUCUCCGGGGGUAGAGCACUGUUUCGGCUAGGGGGCCAUCCCGGCUUACCAACCCGAUGCAAACUGCGAAUACCGGAGAAUGUUAUCACGGGAGACACACGGCGGGUGCUAACGUCCGUCGUGAAGAGGGAAACAACCCAGACCGCCAGCUAAGGUCCCAAAGUCAUGGUUAAGUGGGAAACGAUGUGGGAAGGCCCAGACAGCCAGGAUGUUGGCUUAGAAGCAGCCAUCAUUUAAAGAAAGCGUAAUAGCUCACUGGUCGAGUCGGCCUGCGCGGAAGAUGUAACGGGGCUAAACCAUGCACCGAAGCUGCGGCAGCGACGCUGAUGCGUUGUUGGGUAGGGGAGCGUUCUGUAAGCCUGCGAAGGUGGCCUGUGAGGGUUGCUGGAGGUAUCAGAAGUGCGAAUGCUGACAUAAGUAACGAUAAAGCGGGUGAAAAGCCCGCUCGCCGGAAGACCAAGGGUUCCUGUCCAACGUUAAUCGGGGCAGGGUGAGUCGACCCCUAAGGCGAGGCCGAAAGGCGUAGUCGAUGGGAAACGGGUUAAUAUUCCCGUACUUGGUGUUACUGCGAAGGGGGGACGGAGAAGGCUAUGUUGGCCGGGCGACGGUUGUCCCGGUUUAAGCGUGUAGGUGUGUGUUCCAGGUAAAUCCGGUUCACUUUAACACUGAGGCGUGAUGACGAGGCACUACGGUGCUGAAGCAACAAAUGCCCUGCUUCCAGGAAAAGCCUCUAAGCAUCAGGUAACAUCAAAUCGUACCCCAAACCGACACAGGUGGUCAGGUAGAGAAUACCAAGGCGCUUGAGAGAACUCGGGUGAAGGAACUAGGCAAAAUGGUGCCGUAACUUCGGGAGAAGGCACGCUGACACGUAGGUGAAGUGAUUUACUCAUGGAGCUGAAGUCAGUCGAAGAUACCAGCUGGCUGCAACUGUUUAUUAAAAACACAGCACUGUGCAAACACGAAAGUGGACGUAUACGGUGUGACGCCUGCCCGGUGCCGGAAGGUUAAUUGAUGGGGUCAGCGCAAGCGAAGCUCCUGAUCGAAGCCCCGGUAAACGGCGGCCGUAACUAUAACGGUCCUAAGGUAGCGAAAUUCCUUGUCGGGUAAGUUCCGACCUGCACGAAUGGCGUAAUGAUGGCCAGGCUGUCUCCACCCGAGACUCAGUGAAAUUGAACUCGCUGUGAAGAUGCAGUGUACCCGCGGCAAGACGGAAAGACCCCGUGAACCUUUACUAUAGCUUGACACUGAACAUUGAGCCUUGAUGUGUAGGAUAGGUGGGAGGCUUUGAAGUGUGGACGCCAGUCUGCAUGGAGCCGGCCUUGAAAUACCACCCUUUAAUGUUUGAUGUUCUAACGUGGACCCGUGAUCCGGGUUGCGGACAGUGUCUGGUGGGUAGUUUGACUGGGGCGGUCUCCUCCUAAAGAGUAACGGAGGAGCACGAAGGUUGGCUAAUCCUGGUCGGACAUCAGGAGGUUAGUGCAAUGGCAUAAGCCAGCUUGACUGCGAGCGUGACGGCGCGAGCAGGUGCGAAAGCAGGUCAUAGUGAUCCGGUGGUUCUGAAUGGAAGGGCCAUCGCUCAACGGAUAAAAGGUACUCCGGGGAUAACAGGCUGAUACCGCCCAAGAGUUCAUAUCGACGGCGGUGUUUGGCACCUCGAUGUCGGCUCAUCACAUCCUGGGGCUGAAGUAGGUCCCAAGGGUAUGGCUGUUCGCCAUUUAAAGUGGUACGCGAGCUGGGUUUAGAACGUCGUGAGACAGUUCGGUCCCUAUCUGCCGUGGGCGCUGGAGAACUGAGGGGGGCUGCUCCUAGUACGAGAGGACCGGAGUGGACGCAUCACUGGUGUUCGGGUUGUCAUGCCAAUGGCACUGCCCGGUAGCUAAAUGCGGAAGAGAUAAGUGCUGAAAGCAUCUAAGCACGAAACUUGCCCCGAGAUGAGUUCUCCCUGAGACUUAGAGUCUCCUGAAGGAACGUUGAAGACGACGACGUUGAUAGGCCGGGUGUGUAAGCGCAGCGAUGCGUUGAGCUAACCGGUACUAAUGAACCGUGAGGCUUAACCUUACA
rnacentral:rRNA from 1 species